rnacentral:rRNA from 1 species
GAACGAGAAAGUGGAGCAAUCCAUGAGUAAAGUGGCGACCGGGUGAGUAACACGUGACUAACCUACCUCCGAGUGGGGAAUAACUCCGGGAAACCGGGGCUAAUACCGCAUAACAUCGCGAGAUCAAAGCAGCAAUGCGCUUGAGGAGGGGGUCGCGCCUGAUUAGCUAGUUGGUGGGGUAACGGCCCACCAAGGCGAAGAUCGGUAGCCGGCCUGAGAGGGCGCACGGCCACACUGGAACUGAAACACGGUCCAGACUCCUACGGGAGGCAGCAGUGGGGAAUUUUGCGCAAUGGGGGAAACCCUGACGCAGCAACGCCGCGUGGAGGAUGAAGUCCCUUGGGACGUAAACUCCUUUCGACCCGGACGAUUAUGACGGUACGGGUGGAAGAAGCACCGGCUAACUCUGUG